rnacentral:lncRNA from 1 species
GAGCGAGGGGUUCGGCGGAUUGGAGUGGUACUGAAAUUUCUUUUGUUUUUUUUAUAUUUUAGAAGAUUCUUUUGUUUUUUAAUUAGAGCAAAGCUGGCCAUCCGGGCUGUGCCUGGCAUGCCAGCCUGUGAGCACGCUGGCACAGCACGAGACAGGCUAAUCGGGCCAUGCCAGGCACGCGACGCGUCAUGGGUCGUGCUUGGGCGGCUAGGCUGAGCAUGCGGGUCAGUCUGACACGUAUGAUUGCUCACGUGCCGGCACGAGGGGCACGCCUCGAUUGAAGGGGGAGCAGGGGCCUUUCCUAUUUGGCGUGCAGGUCGCCACCGAGCGACCUGCGGGCACCCCUGUAUCUUGCGUUCAGUGAGAGUAUAGGAAACCCUCGCUGAAGGGGAGGCCGGGAUGGACUGGCCCAGUAGCGCGGGAGGCCACAACCUCCUUGUUUUCUGUUUUUUUUACUUUUGUUUAUAUUUAAAGAAAUUAUAUAUAUAUAUAUAUACACACACAUAAAAACAUUUAAAAAAUGCUGAUCAAGCAUUUGAAAAAUGCUAAAUGUUUAUUACAUAUACAAAAAUCUAUAAAAAAAUUGAUUAUGUAUUUAAAAAAUGUUAAUCAAGCACUUGAUGGUUCAUUUUUUAGUCAAUAAAAUCCACCCUUUGUUGAAAAACUCUUCGAAACAUGCAUUGUGCACCUCGACGGUCAAGUGAGACCAUAGAAGAAUCGAAAACACACAAAGGGUACUUAUGGAUCAGUUGAAUAAAUUGGUUGAGCAGACCGCUUAUGUUAGUUAUAGAGUUUUAAUCAAUGGAUGAAUAUGUUCAACAUUCCCGCUGGUUGUUUCUAACCCUUCUUUUUUGAAACUGGGAACAUUCCUCAGUUUGUCGGUCUAAUGCUUGAGUUACCAGAAAAGUCACAUGAAGCAUUUUGUCAAUACCUUCUUGGCACAUAGGCCUGAGCUGCUAGCUUUUCUAUACUUGAUUUACGGUUCGAUACUGAUAUUUGCUGUCAAUUUUGUCUGCAGUAACUUCAUGCAUUAUGCAUCUUGAAAUAACAACAAUUUACGUUUAAAGUCUGAGAAGGAUGCUACUUUGGUAGUAAGUUUGUAACAGAUUUCUGUUUUAAAGAUUGUUAGUUUAUUGGAGAUGAAAAUUCUGAACCAAUUUAGUCUCCUCUGCUUUCCUUCCUUAGCAAAUUUGAGAAUGCACCGAAGUGCAUAUCUUUGUAUGGGGAAAAAAGACAUGACUGCCGGACUGUGGCAUUUACAGGCGACCAGGCUAUGAAAAUUGGUUUUCAGUUCGGUCAGCUUAACAUGAGACUGUCUUCUGGAAUAAAGCUUAACGUGAGACUGAACUAGUUGCAAAUUGUUUUCAUGCUGCAGGUGCAUUUGUAAGUGGUCAAUGCUACCCAACUCAAUCAUGGCAAGAUUACAAAUCUCAACAUGGACUCGCCCAUCUGGCACAAGUUGAACAUCAAAUGAACACAUCAUGGCCGAAGAAACACCACUCAUGAGAUAGGCUGCCAAAAAACGAUGUUCCGCCAUCGAACUGCGCAGAAGAAGGAACAAGUGCAUAGAACGACGAAUCAUGAGGACUGCUCACUCCAUUUAGUGGACCAUGAUAACUACUACCACUCAAUCUCCAUAAACCUUUUUUUCCUGUAUUGUCAACCUGAUUGUUGAUUAACCAACAAUAAUCUUUCUGGACUGGAAAAAUAAGCCAUGAAUGGUUCGAU